rnacentral:rRNA from 1 species
UUCGCAAUGCCCGAAAGGGUGACGAAGCGACGCCGCGUGUGGGAAGAAGGCCUUCGGGUUGUAAACCGCUGUCGGGAGUUAGGAAGUGCAAGGAUGUUAAUAGCGUUCUUACUUGACGUUAGCUCCGGAGGAAGCCACGGCUAACUCUGUGCCAGCAGCCGCGGUAAUACAGAGGUGGCAAGCGUUGUUCGGAAUUAUUGGGCGUAAAGAGCACGUAGGCGGCCCUGCAAGUCAGCUGUGAAAUCCUUCUGCUCAACGGAAGAACGGCAGUUGAUACUACAGGGCUCGAGUGCGGGAGGGGAGAGUGGAACUUCUGGUGGAGCGGUGAAAUGCGUAGAUAUCAGAAGGAACGCCGGCGGCGAAAGCGGCUCUCUGGCCCAUAACUGACGCUGAGUGUGCGAAAGCUAGGGGAGCAAACGGGAUUAGAUACCCCGGUAGUCCUAGCCGUAAACGAUGGGCACUAAGUAGAGGGGUUUU